ACAGGGGGUAGAAUUUGAGUCAGUAGGGCGUCUGGCUACCAACCUGAAGGUUGUGGGUUCAAUUCACACCCUUUGCA